GGAAUUAAAAAUAUAUUAAUCAACAUAUACAUUUCAAUAGAAGUUUAGAACAUAAUAAUAGAAAGCAAAAAAAAAUAUAUAUCAAGAAGUAGAAAGCAGGAGUGAAAAAAGGAAAGACAAAGUCCCAAAAUAAGAAGUCCAACAUUUCUGAAAUUCCAGAAAAAGAACAGGAGAGAAGAAAUUGCCCAAGAGAAUAUAGAAAGAUUUCCCCAGAAUUGAGGACCACCGCAUCCAAAUUAAAAAGGCAGUUUGAGUGUCAAACACAAUGAGUGAAAAGAUCACACCAUAUUGAAAUGUCGAAACUGCAGAAAGAGAAGAUGCCAGAGAUGUCCACGGAGGAAACAAAGGAAUGGAGUCAGAAAUCAGAAUGGCAAAACUAAAGGUUGCUCAUAAAAUCUCGAAGUCUGGGAGUCCCUGUGAUAGCUUUACAAUGACUCUGGAAAAAACCUUGAGAAUCCUCCAAAGCUGUUUUCCAUAUAAGACAGUCCCUGCUCAGAUCCCUGGGCUUUGCUGUUCUAUACUCUCCAGGAAGCUACAGCAGGAGGCAGGGAGGCCAGGACCCUCACCUCCACUCAAAUACCAACAUGCAGGACAGAUGGAAAGCCGGCCUCAGCUCAACCAAAGCUACAGGGAGGGCACCCCAUCAUGCAAACCAGUAAGGAAGCAGCCUCACCUAGCCACCUGCUAUUCCCUCCCCACCCACUUGUUGUAAGCCUUCUAGAAUAAAAUGGAUAUGAAGCUUUAAUU
rnacentral:lncRNA from 1 species